rnacentral:rRNA from 1 species
UGCCAGCCGCCGCGGUAAUACGGAGGGUGCAAGCGUUGUUCGGAAUUACUGGGCGUAAAGCGCGCGUAGGCGGCUUUUUAAGUCAGAUGUGAAAGUCCACGGCUCAACCGUGGAAGUGCAUUUGAAACUGGGGAGCUUGAGUACUGGAGGGGAUGGUGGAAUUCCCGGUGUAGAGGUGAAAUUCGUAGAUAUCGGGAGGAAUACCGGUGGCGAAGGCGACCAUCUGGACGAGUACUGACGCUGAGGUACGAAAGCGUGGGGAGCAAACAGGAUUAGAUA